rnacentral:rRNA from 1 species
UACGGAGGGUGCGAGCGUUGUCCGGAAUCACUGGGCGUAAAGGGCGCGUAGGCGGUGCGGUAAGUCACCUGUGAAAUCUCCUGGCUCAACUGGGAGCUUGCAGGCGAAACUGCCGUGCUGGAGUGUGGGAGAGGUGAGUGGAAUUCCCGGUGUAGCGGUGAAAUGCGUAGAGAUCGGGAAGAACAUCGGUGGCGAAGGCGCUCUACUGGACCACAACUGACACUCAGGGACGAAAGCUAGGGGAGCGAAUGGG